UUGGAAGUAAAAAAUCGUAACAAGGUUUCCGUAGGUGAACCUGCGGAAGGAUCAUUACAAGAAACGAGGCUGCGUGCGCUCAUCCGCCCAGCCCCGCUCCUUACCUUGCCUACUGCACCGUUUGUUGCUUCCUGGCGGCCGACUGCCUGCCGCCAGGGACAUUGACACAACCUUGUAUAAGCAUUGAAGCCCUGAAAUACACGAAAUCGUACAACUUUCAACAAUGGAUCUCUUGGUUCUGGCAUCGAUGAAGAACGCAGCGAAAUGCGAUAAGUAGUGUGAAUUGCAGAAUUCAGUGAAUCAUCGAAUCUUUGAACGCACAUUGCGCCCCUUGGUAUUCCAUGGGGCAUGCCUGUUCGAGCGUCAUCUAAACCCUCAAGCCCCCUGGGUGUUGUCCCUCGCCUCGUGCGUUGGACCCCGCCCGGCUUGGUGUUGGGUGCCUGUCCCCGCUCCUCGCGCGGACUCACCCCAAAUGCAUUGGCAGCCGCCCUUCGGCUUCUUGCGCAGCACAUUGCGCAGCAAGGCGAAGCGAGGCGCGCGUCCAGCAAGCAACUCUCCAAGUUGACCUCGGAUCAGGGGAAGAACCAG
rnacentral:rRNA from 1 species